rnacentral:rRNA from 1 species
CCCCGAAGACUGGGAUAACACCGGGAAACCGGUGCUAAUACCGGAUGUCCUCCUCUGGUCGCAUGGCCUAGGGAGGAAAGGACUGCAUCUAAUAAAUGCAUCUUGCUUCGGGAGGGGCUCGCGGGCUAUCAGCUUGUUGGUGGGGUAACGGCUCACCAAGGCGACGACGGCUAGCUGGUCUGAGAGGACGACCAGCCACACUGGGACUGAGACACGGCCCAG